GAGAGGACCGGGAUGGAUCCACCUCUAGUGUACGAGUUAUCGCGCCAGCGGUAGCGCUCGGUAGCUAAGUCGAGCAUGGAUAAACGCUGAAUGCAUCUAAGCGUGAAGCCAGACCAGAGAUUAGUUCUGCCUAUGAGACUCGUGGUAGACCACCACGUUGAUAGGAUGGGUAUGUAAGCGUUGAAAGGCGCUCAGUUGACCAUUACUAAUAUGUCCAUUGGCUUGACCUA
rnacentral:rRNA from 1 species